UACGGAGGAUGCGAGCGUUAUCCGGAUUUAUUGGGUUUAAGGGGUGCGUAGGCGGAUUUUUAAGUCAGCGGUAAAAUGUCCGGGCUCAACCCGGGCCGGCCGUUGAGACUGGGGAUCUUGAGUGGGCGAGAAGUAUGCGGAAUGCGUGGUGUAGCGGUGAAAUGCAUAGAUAUCACGCAGAACUCCGAUUGCGAAGGCAGCAUACCGGCGCCCGACUGACGCUGAGGCACGAAAGCGUGGGGAUCGAACAGG
rnacentral:rRNA from 1 species